CAACUUUCAGCAACGGAUCUCUUGGCUCUCGCAUCGAUGAAGAACGCAGCGAAAUGCGAUAAGUAGUGUGAAUUGCAGAAUUCAGUGAAUCAUCGAAUCUUUGAACGCACCUUGCGCCCUUUGGCUAUUCCGAAGGGCAUGCCUGUUUGAGUAUCAU
rnacentral:rRNA from 1 species